rnacentral:lncRNA from 1 species
CCAGUUUCAAAAAUGAUGAAGAAGGUAGAAAGCAAGGAUGACUUUGAGAGAGACUCAAAAGAUGCUCAAGAAUGAUUGUUAGGAAGAAAUCAACCAAGUUCCAAGCAUUUCUUUGCAAGUUUCCAAGGUCUUUCGGUGCUACAAUCCAACAACCAAUAUCCUUUCCUUAAGGUCUGGAGAAGCUUCUGAAGCCUCAUUUCUUAUUGACAAAUUUGGAAAAUCUGGCUUUCUGACAACCCAAGGGUGAUAAAGCCAGCUGUCCAAAGCUUCUCUCAACAUAAGUCUGCAGUGCUUCAGAGGAGAAAGUAAAUAAGAUCUGAAGGUAAGUACUUUCAGAAAUUUUCACAGCUUUCAAGGGGUUGGCAAAUAGACCUUGGGGACUUUCAGAGCUGUCAUUUAACUCUGAAACAAUAGGAUCUCUAUCCGGAAUGAAAAUAGAAAAGCAAAUCCAACUGCCCUGUAAAUUGAGUUUGUUAAUGUUUGUUGGUAUAGGGUAAUGUACCUUUCACAGACUCAGUCCAUUUCAAUUCAGUUAAGCAACUAUUUAUUAAUCAUUUGCAAAGGGAAAAGGACUGUACAUUUGCAUUUUUGACAGUCUGUCGAAGCUUUUGGACCACUUCCCAGAAUAAGGAAAAAUUCUUAAUUGAAGAAAAUACUAAAAUUCAAUUG